rnacentral:tRNA from 2 species
CGGGAUGUAGCGCAGUUUGGUAGCGCGUCGGCUUUGGGAGCCGAACGUCGCAGGUUCGAAUCCUGCCAUCCCGA